AUGGUGAAGCUUCUUGCAGAAUUUAAUCCUGAGAUUGCCAAAGUUGUGUUGGGAAAUGCUCCAUACGGCGCAAAAUACACAUCACAUGAUAUCCAGAAUGAGAUCUUGAGUAUAUUUGCAUCUAAAAUCAGCAAGCAUAUUCGUGAGGAAGUUGGAGAUUAUAAGUAUUCUAUUUUAGUGGAUGAAACAUGUGAUGCAUCAAAGAGAGAGCAAAUGGCGUUGGUUAUUAGGUUUGCUGAUAAAGGUGGUAUUUUGCAAGAGAGAUUCUUUGAUUUGAUACAUGUAGCAAACACGAGGUCAUUGACACCGAAAAAUGAGUUGAGCUUUGUUUUGUCAAACAACGGUUUUGAUAUUCAGAACCUUCGAGAACAAGGUUAUGACGGCGCUAGUAACAUGAGAGGCGAGUUAAAUGGAUUGCAAGCUCUUUUCCUCCAAGAAUGCCCAUAUGCUUAUUAUGUCCAUUGUUAUGCCCAUCGCUUGCAACUUGCUCUAGUUGAUGCAUCUAAAGAAGUGGUUCCUGUCUCCCAGUUCUUUCAGAAAUUGAUAUUUAUCAUAAACACGGUUGACUCAUCUUCAAAGCGCCAUGACGAGCUUCAUCUUGCCCAACUAGUUGAACUAGAAAAUGGAAUCUCUAAUGCUAGCAUCGAGACAGGUCAAGGGGCAAAUCAAAUCCGUUCACUUAAGCGACCAGGAGACACAAGGUGGGGUUCUCAUUUUGGUUCAGUUUAUAGCCUUAUGAAGAUGUUUGGUCCAGUUUGUUCAGUUAUCCAAGAUAUAGCCGCCGAUGGAUCAAUUGGCUCAAUUCGUGCAGAUGCAGACACUUCUUUUGGCUACUUGUCCUCAUUUGAGUUCAUUUUUAUCUUAUGUUUAAUGAAGGAAAUCUUUGAAAUAACAGAAUUGCUUGGCCAAGCUUUACAAAAGAAAUCACAAGAUAUUGUGAAUGUUGUCUGCCUAGUUUCCUCAACAAAACAAUGUCUUCAGGAGUUGAGAUCAGAUGAUGGCUACCAAGUAUUUAUUACUACGGUUGUUGAAUUUUGUCUAAACCAUUCCAUUGACAUUCCAGACUUUGAGGAAACAUACAUCAUGCGUGGUGGUCGUGCUCGUCGUCAACCUGAUCAGUUCACCAAGGAGCAUUACUUUCGAGUGGAAAUUUUCUUUUCAACACUUGACACUCAACUAUUUGAAUUAAAUCGAAGAUUCAAUGAUAAGGUAAUGGAUCUUCUAACCAUUAGCGCCACCUUGAUUCCUACAAACAAAUUCAGAGGAUUCAAAGCUAGUGAUAUAUGUGAGAUGGUGAAAAAGUACUACCCAGCAGAUUUUCCCCAAGAUAUUUAUGGAUUACAACAGCAACUUAAGCACUUUGUUUCAGAUGCUUCCAAGGAUGAUGAUUUGAAAAACAUAUCUACCUUAAUUGAUCUAUGUCAAUGCCUUGUGGAGAUAGGAAGACACACCGUCUACAAUUUGGUUGACAGAUUACUUCGGUUGCUCAUUACCCUUCCAGUUUCUACAGCCAGUGCUGAACGCGCAUUUUCUAGUAUGAAGAUCAUUAAGACAAGAUUGCGCAAUAAGAUGGAAGAUGAGAAUCUGGCUAAUAACUUGUUAGUACACAUAGAGGGUGGAAUUUUGGAGAACUACAGCCAUGAAGAUGCCAUUGCAGAUUUUAUAAGCAAGAAGGAUCGGAGAGUUGAUUUCUAG
rnacentral:rRNA from 1 species